rnacentral:rRNA from 1 species
UACAGAGGGUGCAAGCGUUGUUCGGAAUUAUUGGGCGUAAAGCGCGUGUAGGCGGCUUUGCAAGUCGGGUGUGAAAGCCCUCAGCUCAACUGAGGAAGUGCGCCCCGAAAACUGCAGAGCUUUGAGUGCCGGAGAGGGUGGCGGAAUUCCCCAAGUAGAGGUGAAAUUCGUAGAUAUGGGGAGGAACACCGGUGGGCGAAGGCGGCCACCUGGACGGUAACUGACGCUGAGACGCGAAAGCGUGGGGAGCAAACAGG